rnacentral:rRNA from 1 species
UACGAAGGGGGCUAGCGUUGCUCGGAAUUACUGGGCGUAAAGCGCACGUAGGCGGAUUGUUAAGUCGGGGGUGAAAUCCUGGAGCUCAACUCCAGAACUGCCUUCGAUACUGGCGAUCUCGAGUUCGGGAGAGGUGAGUGGAACUGCGAGUGUAGAGGUGAAAUUCGUAGAUAUUCGCAAGAACACCAGUGGCGAAGGCGGCUUCUGGCCGG